rnacentral:rRNA from 1 species
CCUACGGGAGGCAGCAGUGGGGAAUUUUGGACAAUGGGCGCAAGCCUGAUCCAGCCAUGCCGCGUGUGGGAAGAAGGCCUUCGGGUUGUAAACCACUUUUGUCAGGGAAGAAACGGCUCUUACUAAUAUUAGGGGCUAAUGACGGUACCUGAAGAAUAAGCACCGGCUAACUACGUGCCAGCAGCCGCGGUAAUACGUAGGGUGCAAGCGUUAAUCGGAAUUACUGGGCGUAAAGCGUGCGCAGGCGGCUUUGCAAGACAGAUGUGAAAUCCCCGGGCUCAACCUGGGAACUGCAUUUGUGACUGCAUGGCUAGAGUACGGUAGAGGGGGAUGGAAUUCCGCGUGUAGCAGUGAAAUGCGUAGAUAUGCGGAGGAACACCGAUGGCGAAGGCAAUCCCCUGGACCUGUACUGACGCUCAUGCACGAAAGCGUGGGGAGCAAACAGGAUUAGAUACCCUGGUAGUCCACGCCCUAAACCGAUGUCAACUGGUGUUGGACGGCUUGCUGUUCAGUACGAAGCUAACGCGUGAAGUUGACCGCCUGGGGUGGUGCGCGAGUAGAGAGAAGAGUUGNGNGNGAGAGNGCGAGCGACGACGAGGGAGAGG